UACGUAGGGACCAAGCGUUGUUCGGAUUUACUGGGCGUAAAGGGCGCGUAGGCGGCAAUUCAAGUCAGCUGUGAAAUCUCCGGGCUUAACUCGGAACGGUCAGCUGAUACUGCUUUGCUAGAGUGCGGAAGGGGCAAUCGGAAUUCUCGGUGUAGCGGUGAAAUGCGUAGAUAUCGAGAGGAACACCUGAGGUGAAGACGGGUUGCUGGGCCGACACUGACGCUGGAGGCGCGAAAGCUAGGGGAGCAAACAGG
rnacentral:rRNA from 1 species